rfam:Postia placenta Mad-698-R POSPLscaffold_11_Cont941, whole genome shotgun sequence.
GGCCUGAUGGUGUAGUGGUUAUCACGUUUGUCUUACACCAUUGCAGUGAGCCAGGAGCACAAACAGUCGCCGGUUCGAUCCCGGCUCAGGUCA